rnacentral:rRNA from 1 species
UACGUAGGGUGCGAGCGUUAAUCGGAAUUACUGGGCGUAAAGCGUGCGCAGGCGGUUUUGUAAGCCAGGUGUGAAAUCCCCCGGGCUUAACCUGGGAAUGGCAUUUGGGACUGCAAGGCUUGAGUGCGGCAGAGGAGACUGGAAUUCCUGGUGUAGCAGUGAAAUGCGUAGAUAUCAGGAGGAACACCGAUGGCGAAGGCAGGUCUCUGGGGCUGACACUGACGCUCAUGCACGAAGCGUAGG